rnacentral:rRNA from 1 species
CCUACGGGUGGCAGCAGUGGGGGCUAUUGCUCAAUGGGGGAAACCCUGAUCCAGCGACGCCGCGUGGGCGAAGAAGUAUCUCGGUAUGUAAAGCCCCAUCAGUAGGGAAGUAGAAAUGACGGUACCUGAGUAUGUAGCACUGGCUAAAUACGUGCCAGCAGCCGCGGUCAUACGGAGGGUGCAAGCGUUAUCCGGAUUUACUGGGUGGAAAGGGAGCGCAGGCGGCACGGCAAGCCUGAUGUGAAAGCCCGCGGCCCAACCGCGGGACUGCAUUGGGAACUACCGGGCUGGAGUGCCGGAGAGGCAGGCGGAAUGCGUAGUGUAGCGGUGAAAUGCGUAGAUAUUAGGAAGAACACCAGUGGCGAAGGCGGCCUACUGAGCGGUGACUGACGCUGAGGCUCGAAAGCGUGGGGAGCAAACAGGAUUAGAUACCCCUGUAGUC